rnacentral:rRNA from 1 species
GGAUCAUUACAGAGUUCAUGCCCCUCGGGGUAGACCUCCCACCCUGUGUAUCUCUACACUGUUGCUUUGGCAGGCCGUUCGGGCUUCGGCCUGGCUGCGGGCUCCGGCCUGCAUGCGCCUGCCAGAGGAAUCUAGACUCUGAAUUAUAGUAUUGUCUGAGUAAUAUCAAAUAAGUUAAAACUUUCAACAACGGAUCUCUUGGUUCUGGCAUCGAUGAAGAACGCAGCGAAAUGCGAUAAGUAAUGUGAAUUGCAGAAUUCAGUGAAUCAUCGAAUCUUUGAACGCACAUUGCGCCCUUUGGUAUUCCGAAGGGCAUGCCUGUUCGAGCGUCAUUUCAACCCUCAAGCUCUGCUUGGUAUUGAGCCCUGCCAGCAAUGGUAGGCUCUAAAAUCAGUAGCGGUGCUAUCGAGCUCUAAGCGUAGUAAUUUCUCUCGCUAUAGGUGCCCGGUGGUGUCUUGCUAGAACCCCCCCAUUUUUUAAGGUUGACCUCGGAUCAGGUAGGGAUCCCGCUGAACUUUAAGCAUAUUCAAUAAGCGGAGGAAAAAGAAACCCACCAGG